AAUGCCUUUCCUGGACUGAGCCCCUCGAUCCAGAAGCUGAUCCACUUCUGGACUUAACACCUGAGCUGAAAACGUUUCUUUUUGCCCAUGCUCAUUUUCAUUCAGUUUCCAACAGAACAGAAUCCUGACGCAUACACAAAUGAUUCCUGCCACAGGAUAUUGCAAAGAUCAAGCUCUACAAACUAAAACUGCUGGAGUGCCCAUCUGUGAUCACAAGACAGAAACUACAGGGAGUGAGGUUGGAGAUCAUCAGGAGAAAAGGAGAUAAAACCCCCAUAUGCAAGAUGUCCUCUUUAUACUGGAAGGAAGCUCACAUUGUCAUCAUCAGGAAUGGGAAGUUGAAGCCCAGAGAAAUCUGUGCAAACAUUGUUAAGCUAACCCUUAUCUUCCUAAUUAGUUCUGUACUCAAUUAACUACCUAGUCCAAGCCCUUUUGAUUGUCCUUGUCACAUUUUCCCAAUUUAUUACUCUUUCUCCCCUUUUUAAAC